rnacentral:rRNA from 1 species
GACGAACGCUGGCGGCGUGCUUAACACAUGCAAGUCGAACGGAAAGGCCCUGCUUUUGUGGGGUGCUCGAGUGGCGAACGGGUGAGUAACACGUGAGUAACCUGCCCUUGACUUUGGGAUAACUUCAGGAAACUGGGGCUAAUACCGGAUAGGAGCUCCUGCUGCAUGGUGGGGGUUGGAUAGUUUCGGCGGUUGGGGAUGGACUCGCGGCUUAUCAGCUUGUUGGUGGGGUAGUGGCUUACCAAGGCUUUGACGGGUAGCCGGCCUGAGAGGGUGACCGGCCACAUUGGGACUGAGAUACGGCCCAGACUCCUACGGGAGGCAGCAGUGGGGAAUAUUGCACAAUGGGCGGAAGCCUGACGCAGCAACGCCGCGUGCGGGAUGACGGCCUUCGGGUUGUAAACCGCUUUCGCCUGUGACGAAGCGUGAGUGACGGUAAUGGGUAAAGAAGCACCGGCUAACUACGUG